GGACAGGUGGCAGAGUGGUCGAAUGCAGCGGUCUUGAAAACCGCCGAGGGUGCAAGCUCUCCGUGGGUUCGAAUCCCACCCUGUCCG
rnacentral:tRNA from 1 species